rnacentral:rRNA from 1 species
UGGGGAAUAUUGCACAAUGGGGGAAACCCUGAUGCAGCGACGCCGCGUGAGCGAUGAAGGCUUUCGAGUCGUAAAGCUCUGUCCUAUGGGAAGAAAAAAAUGACGGUACCUACAGAAGAAGCAUCGGCUAAAUACGUGCCAGCAGCCGCGGUAAUACGUAUGUUGCGAGCGUUAUCCGGAAUUAUUGGGCUUAAAGGGCAUCUAGGCGGUAAGACAAGUUGAAGGUGAAAACCUGUGGCUCAACCAUAGGCUUGCCUACAAAACUGUUGAACUAGAGUACUGGAAAGGUGGGUGGAACUACACGAGUAGAGGUGAAAUUCGUAGAUAUGUGUAGGAAUGCCGAUGAUGAAGAUAACUCACUGGACAGAAACUGACGCUGAAGUGCGAAAGCUAGGGGAGCAAACAGG